GACGAACGCUGGCGGCGUGCUUAACACAUGCAAGUCGAACGGAAAGGCCCUGCUUUUGUGGGGUGCUCGAGUGGCGAACGGGUGAGUAACACGUGAGUAACCUGCCCUUGACUUUGGGAUAACUUCAGGAAACUGGGGCUAAUACCGGAUAGGAGCUCCUGCUGCAUGGUGGGGGUUGGAAAGUUUCGGCGGUUGGGGAUGGACUCGCGGCUUAUCAGCUUGUUGGUGGGGUAGUGGCUUACCAAGGCUUUGACGGGUAGCCGGCCUGAGAGGGUGACCGGCCACAGUGGGACUGGGAUACGGCCCAGACGCCUACGGGAGGCAGCAGUGGGGAAUAUAGCACAAUGGGCGGAAGCCGGAUGCAGCAACGCCGCGUGCGGGAUGACGGCCUUCGGGUUGUAAACCGCUUUCGCCUGUGACGAAGCGUGAGUGACGGUAAUGGGUAAAGAAGCACCGGCUAACUACGU
rnacentral:rRNA from 1 species